rnacentral:hammerhead_ribozyme from 1 species
AUCCAACUGACGAGUCCCACAUGAGAUGAAACUCGCGUUCUGGAU